UGGGGGAUCGUCUAGUGGUAGGACGACGGGUUCUGGCCCCGUUAGCGAGGGUUCGAGUCCUUCUCCCCCAGCCA
rnacentral:tRNA from 3 species